AAACACUGGGCUGCAGAUCUUGUUAUGCAGCACUCAUGACUCUGAUGAGCAAAAGCCUGGGAAAAAUAAAGAGGCUCUGCUGACAGAACUCCCUUCAGCACUGAUCGCUGGGGUUCCCAGCAGCUCACUUUUUUUCCUGUAAACCAGGGAAAGAAUGGAAGGAAAGUCAUCAAAAAUGGUCUUGGGUAACUUGCUCUUUGCUUCCCCUUAGCACUGUACUUUGCUGGGUGAAAGGUUUGAGAUGUGGUUCCCAAGGGUGUGAUUUUAAAUGAAUGGGAGCAAUGUCUAAAUGUUGUCAUUAGCUUAAAAACAUUUUUGAAAAGUUAAUGAUGAAAUUUGUUCUAACUGUUCUUCCCAGAUGUGACCUUGUGACUGAGCACUGUAAAUUUCAUCAAAGCAUGAAGGUGCUACCAGCUUGGACUUCAGAUUUGAUCUCCGUGAUGCUUGUAAACUCCAGCAUCCUGAAUUCCUUAUUCCUGUCCCAUGAACAGUUCUAUUUCUGGAAGUCCUCCAAUGCAAACAGGCAGACUUUGGGUUAAAGAGUUAAAGACGACAUUGUUUCUGAUUGCUACCGACAGUGUCAGUGAGCCAAGGUGACUUCUUUCCUUCUGAUAGAUCCUCACAUCCGCUCUAGACUCUGCCAGCCAAAUGAUGCCUUUAUUUACAUCCUGCCUCCGCACCGUCUUCAAGCCGUGUCCUUGCUGAUACCCGAGCAGCUGCGGCGAGAUUGCACAUGUGCAGGUCAUUUUUACAGACUCUUGAACACACGCUCCUGGAACAGAGAUUCAGCUGUAUAUGUAACGUAAUAUAAAGUAACAGGGCUCAAGAGGUAUAUAUUCUCUGAUGGUGCAACGAAUGUUUCCCAGCUCCCAGGUUUAAACACCUGGAAGGAAAAUCAUGCAGAGGGGGUGGUAUGCUCCUUCAGUGUGCCCUACCUGGAAUGACCUUGGG